rnacentral:rRNA from 1 species
CCUACGGGUGGCAGCAGUGGGGAAUCUUGGGCAAUGGACGCAAGCCUGACCCAGCAACGCCGCGUGAAGGAAGAAGGCUUUCGGGUUGUAAACCUCUGUUCUCAGGGACGAAGAAAGUGACGGUAACUUGUGCCUAAGCCACCGCUAACUACGGACAAGCAGCCGCUGUAAUACGUAGGUGGCAAGCGUUAUCCGGAUUUAUGGGGUGUAAAGGCCGGGUAGGCGGGAGCGCAAGUCAGAGGUGAAAACCCAGGGCUCAACCGUGGGCGUGCAUUGGAAACUGGGUUUCUUGAGUGCUGGAGAGGCAAGCGGAAUUCCGUGUGUAGCGGUGAAAUGCGUAGAUAUACGGAGGAACACCAGUGGCGAAGGCGGAUUGCUGGACAGUAACUGACGCUGAGGCGCGAAAGCGUGGGGAGCAAACAGGAUUAGAUACCCUAGUAGUC